rnacentral:tRNA from 1 species
UCAAAGUGUAGCUUAACAAAAGCAUCUGAUUUACACCCAGAAGAUUUCAUCAUACAUGACCACUUUGAAC